UACGAAGGGGGCGAGCGUUGUUCGGAUUUACUGGGCGUAAAGGGCGCGCAGGCGGCGCAUUUUGUCAGGCGUGAAAGCCCCGGGCUUAACCUGGGAACUGCGUUUGAUACGGAUGGGCUAGAGUUCGGGAGAGGAGAGUGGAAUUCCCAGUGUAGAGGUGAAAUUCGUAGAUAUUGGGAAGAACACCGGUGGCGAAGGCGCCACUCUGGGCCGAAACUGACGCUGAGGAGCGAAAGCGUGGGUAGCAAACAGG
rnacentral:rRNA from 1 species